AGACGGCUGGAGGAAGCCGAGGGACAGGAAAGGCGGUGUCUCCAGCUCAACAACGAAGAAUAAAGUGAUAAGUCUCACAAAAUUAAAGACCCAAUCCAAAAAACGUGUGUAAGAGGAAUAAAGCCCGCAGUAAAAACGCACGUACAGGGAAGGAGGGGGUUUGAAGCAGAGAGGAGAGGCAUGGAAGGUCAUUUUUAACCAGGACUCAUGGGAAAUGAAGAGAACCAAGAGAGAUGGGUCAUCGGGUGGUGGGCUACGGGAUCUUCUCUCCUAACCUGUUGAAAAUAGACAACCACUGUGAACUGACUCAAUGAAUCUUCAAAAAAUGUUCAUGAGAGACUUGUAUUUGUCAUCAAAAUAUGUAACCCAUGUCAUAGCGUGGGUGUAUUUGUAGCAAUAGUCUAAAAAAAUACAUUGUACAUUUUUCUUUUAUGCCAAAAAUCAUAAGGAUAUUAUGCAAAGAUCAUGAGAUAUUUUGUACAAUUUCAAACAUAAAUAUAUCAAAUCUUUA